ensembl:miRNA
GCUCACCCGGUGGGCCUCAAAUGUCGGGCACUAUUCCGGUGUCCAUGUGGAAAGUGCUGCAACAUUUGAGCAUCACCGGUGACGC